rnacentral:misc_RNA from 1 species
GAGGAGGAGGAGAUCGAGCAGCCGCUGACGCUCGUCGUCUACCUCCCGAUCUGAUCCGAGGAGCGAAGCGAACAGGGGCAAGAUGCAUUCGACGAAUCUGCUGCUGGAGGAGCCCAUCAGGAUGGCAUCCAUCCUGGAGCCAUCCAAGCCGAGCUUUUUCCCGGCGAUGACCAAGAUCGUGGGGACGCUGGGUCCCAAGUCGCGC